UCAGCCGCCUAACCCGCUCAGCCAUCGCAACUACCACAAAAUGGAAGUCGGACAACUGGUAGUCUAGACUGUGGACUAUGUGUACCCCUCUGAUAAGCGUAAAUUGGUACGGCUCCCACGCCCGAAAGCUAUCAAUGCAAAGUGCCAUU